UCAUAUGGACCUAAGUCAUUGAACCUCAACCCAUCCGUAUUAAAUCAACACUUUGACUCUAAACCCAUCUAAACCCAUUAACCUUAACCUCACUCAAAAUCCAUUAACCGUUACCUAUAACCCAAUCCAAUUAAACCUUAGCCCAAUUCUAAACCUAUAACCUAUAACCCAAUCCAAUUAAAUCUAAGCCUAGUCCAAAGCCCAGAGCCCAUUUACAAAUGGCCCCGGUCCAAAACCCAUUUGGGCCCACUAUCUAAACCCAUUAUCCAAAACUCAUUAAAACCAUUAACCCAUGAACCCAUAUACAUAAACCUAUAUACAUUUACCCAUGAACCCGUACACAUUUAACCCAUAUCCAAGCCCAUAACUUUAACCAAGUCCAUGAACUUUGAACCAAAACCAUGGACCAAACCAUACACCAAAUCCUGUGGACCAUACCAUACACCAAAUCCACGAACUAUGAAUCAAGUUCAUGAAUCAAAUCAAGUUCAUGAACCAGGGAUCAUAGACCACAAACCAUACACCAAGUUCAUGAACCAUAAACCCAUGAACCAUAAAUCCAUGAACCAUAAGUCCAUGAACCAUAAACCCAUACACCAAGUUCAUGAACCAUAAACCCAUGAACCAUAAGUCCAUGAACCACAAACCCAUGAACCGUAAGUCCAUGAACCAUAAAUCCAUGAAUCAUGGACUUCAUGAACCAUAAGUCCAUGAACCAUAAACCCAUGAACCAUAAGUCCAUGAACCANCGCCGCCGGCGUAGACCCCCUCUUGCGCGGCCCCCACCGAUCGAAGCCGCACGAGGUCGCUCAAAGCUCCCUCAUCACCAUCGAGCCGGCCGCGCUAAACCCUUCCACUCGGCCGCUCCACUGAGCUCGCCGCCCUCAAUCGCUCGAAGCCGCUCCGGCCUUAGCCGCUCGAAGGCCCGCUGCUGUCCUUGACUCGAAGCCGCGCCACCCGCGGCCGAUACUUUCGAAGCCGCGCCACCCGCGGCAGGUCCGCCCGAAGCCACACAGAGGCUCCGUCGAAGUCGCUGUCCUCUCGAAGCCGCGCCACCAGCGGCCGGUCCUCUCGAAGCCGCGCCACCCGCGGCCGGUCCUCUCGAAGCCGCGCCACCCGCGGCCGAUCCGCCNCCCGAAGCCGCGCCACCCGCGGCCGAUACUUUCGAAGCCGCGCCACCCGCGGCAGGUCCGCCCGAAGCCACGCAGAGGCUCCGUCGAAGUCGCCGUCACCCGAAGCCGCGCCACCCGCGGCCGGUCCUCUCGAAGCCGCGCCACCCGCGGCCGGUCCUCUCGAAGCCGCGCCACCCGCGGCCGAUCCGCCCGAAGCCGCGCCACCCGCGGCCAAUUCGUCGAUGCCCAUGCCGAGCCGCCGCCCAUAACUCUGCUCGUGAUCUUGGCCGAGCCGCGCCACCCGCGCGCCGUCGUCGACUUUGAUGGCUCGAACCCGAGGAGUUCCCUCUAAUGCCGCGUCGCUCCACCUCGAAGGCCGCAGCCCCGUCGAUGCCACGCCGCUGUCGUGGCCCUUCACCGCUGCAGAGCGUCGUCGUCACGGCCCUCCUCCGUCGUGGUCUCAGAUCCGCGGCUCCACUGUCAGGUCACAGCCCCAGCGAAGCUCCGUCAUCAACAAAGCCCGCCAGCUGCUCGACGGCGAUCCUGAGAGAGAGAGCGGUGCUCUACUCUCAAACGGAGUCCGCCCACCAACCGCUCGACGGCGAACCUGAGAGAGAGAGCGGUGCUCUCCUCUUAAAUGAAUUUAGAUCCGCUCGCCAAGCGCUCGACGACGAAAUUGAGAGAGAGAGCGGUGCUCUCCUCUCAAAUGAAGUCAAGUCCGCCAACCGCUCCGACGACGAAUCCGAGAGAGAGAGCGGUGCUCUCCUCUCAAACAAAGUUCGCCCGCUAAUUGCUCGGUGGCGAAUCAUAAAGAGAGCGAUGCUCUCAUUUACCGACCAAUCAUUCGACGAAAUACUUCGUCGUCGACGUGCUAAUCAAACCGCUCGAUGGAAUGCCGAGAUGAACAUCGAUGGUGCUCUUUGCAAAAUAUCACCAAAAAGAGAGAUCACUCUAAAAGAGAGAGAGAGCUUUGACAAAAUCACAUUAGACACUUCAAAUUAAAUUGAAAUUUAAUUUGUUAUUCAAAUCCAGAAUUUGAAGAAAAUGUAUAUGAAAAUCUUAAUUGAUCAAAAAUUUUUUUUUUUAAUAAAACCUCGAGACAUGAAUCUAGGCCCGAUCAUAUGGACCUAAGUCAUUGAACCUCAACCCAUCCGUAUUAAAUCAACACUUUGACUCUAAACCCAUUUAACCCAAUCUAAUCUAAACCCAUUAACCUUAACCUCACUCAAAAUCCAUUAACCGUUACCUAUAACCCAAUCCUAUAACCUAAUCCAAUUAAACCUUAGCCCAAUUCUAAACCCAUAACCUAUAACCCAAUCCAAUUAAAUCUAGGCCUAGUCCAAAGCCCAGAGCCCAUUUACAAAUGGCCCCAGUCCAAAACCCAUUUGGGCCCACUAUCUAAGCCCAUUAUCCAAAACUCAUUAAAACCAUUAACCCAUAAACCCAUAUACAUAAACCUAUAUACAUUUACCCAUGAACCCAUACACAUUUAACCCAUAUCCAAGCCCAUAACCUUAACCAAGUCCAUGAACUUUGAACCAAAACCAUGGACCAAACCAUACACCAAAUCCUGUGGACCAUACCAUACACCAAAUCCACGAACUAUGAAUCAAGUUCAUGAAUCAAAUCAAGUUCAUGAGCCAUGGAUCAUAAACCACAAACCAUACACCAAGUUCAUGAACCAUAAACCCAUGAACCAUAAGUCCAUGAACCAUAAACCCAUGAACCAUAAGUCCAUGAACCAUAAACCCAUGAACCAUAAGUCCAUGAACCAUAAACCCAUGAACCAUAAGUCCAUGAACCAUAAACCCAUGAACCAUAAGUCCAUGAACCAUAAACCCAUGAACCAUAAGUCCAUGAACCAUAAACCCAUGAACCAUAAGUCCAUGAACCAUAAACCCAUGAACCAUAAGUCCAUGAACCAUAAACCCAUGAACCAUAAGUCCAUGAACCAUAAACCCAUGAACCAUAAGUCCAUGAACCAUAAACCCAUGAACCAUAAGUCCAUGAACCAUAAACCCAUGAACCAUAAGUCCAUGAACCAUAAACCCAUGAACCAUAAGUCCAUGAACCAUAAACCCAUGAACCAUAAGUCCAUGAACCAUAAACCCAUGAACCAUAUCUAAGUUCAUGAACCAUAAUCCCAUAUACCCAAUACCAUAAACCUUGUGAACCAAACCCAAACCUUCGACCGAAACGUCGUUAAACUAAUCCACCAAAUCAACCGACCGAAACGUCGUUAAACUAAACCUAAAUCCGAUAUCGACCGAAAUGUCGUUAAACUAAACUCAA
rnacentral:lncRNA from 1 species